rnacentral:rRNA from 1 species
AAAUUGAAGAGUUUGAUCAUGGCUCAGAUUGAACGCUGGCGGCAGGCCUAACACAUGCAAGUCGAACGGUAACAGGAAGCAGCUUGCUGCUUCGCUGACGAGUGGCGGACGGGUGAGUAAUGUCUGGGAAACUGCCUGAUGGAGGGGGAUAACUACUGGAAACGGUAGCUAAUACCGCAUAACGUCGCAAGACCAAAGAGGGGGACUUUCGGGCCUCUUGCCAUCGGAUGUGCCCAGAUGGGAUUAGCUAGUAGGUGGGGUAACGGCUCACCUAGGCGACGAUCCCUAGCUGGUCUGAGAGGAUGACCAGCCACACUGGAACUGAGACACGGUCCAGACUCCU